UGGACUUGAUGAUCUCAGAGGUCCCUUCCAACCCAGCUGAUUCUAUGAUUCUGUGAUUCUGUGAUUCUAUGAUUCUGUGAUUCUAUGAUUCUAUGAUUCUAUGAUUCUGUGAUUCUGUGAUUCUGUGAUUCUAUGAUUCUGUGAUUCUAUGAUUCUGUGAUUCUAUGAUUCUAUGAUUCUAUGAUUCUGUGAUUCUGUGAUUCUAUGAUUCUAUGAUUCUAUGAUUCUGUGAUUCUAUGAUUCUAUGAUUCUGUGAUUCUGUGAUUCUGUGAUUCUAUGAUUCUAUGUUUCUAUGAUUCUAUGAUUUGAUGAUUCUAUGAUUCUAUGAUUCUGUGAUUCUAUGAUUCUAUGAUUCUGUGAUUCUAUGAUUCUAUGAUUCUAUGAUUCUGUGAUUCUAUGAUUCUAUGAUUCUAUGAUUCUGUGAUUCUAUGAUUCUAUGAUUCUAUGAUUCUAUGAUUCUGUGAUUCUAUGAUUCUGUGAUUCUGUGAUUCUAUGAUUCUAUGAUUCUGUGAUUCUGUGAUUCUGUGAUUCUAUGAUUCCGUGAUUCUAUGUUUCUAUGCCUGUGCCCUCUGUGCCCUCGUUUCCAUCAGAUUCCUGUUUCUCUCUCCUCUCAGCACACAGAGGGAUUAUCCCCCAACUCUCAGUGCUCUGUUCCGCCCCCUCCUCUCUCUCCCUGCCACUUUUCCCUCUGUCAGACUCCCUUGCUCCCAGACUAAAACAAUAUAUGACAAAAUGAUCCCUGCUGACUAUUGACACUGGCAAUUAUGGAAGAAUUAAACAGGCCUGUGUGCUUUGGAUGCACUUCAAAGGAACUCUUGUCCAUGAGGAUUUGCCUGAGAACACAGUUGAAAUGGAUAAUAAAAGGAGGUGCUGAAGAUGAUCCUCCUGCUUCUUUGCACAA